AUGAAUUAUGCUUAUGGAGAUGAACUUGCUAUAGUUCCUUAUGUUAAACAUGAAAUUGUUGCUAUUGCACCCACGCAUGAUAGUCCUAUUAUCUUUUUGAAUUGUUCCGACUACACUAUAUCGGAGAAGUUUGUGCUUAUUAAGGAUUAUAUUGGUGGGUUGCCUUUUACCGUUGCACAUGAUGAUUUUGAUAGAUAUAAUAUGCAUGUGCUUGCUGCUCCUACUUGCAAUUAUUAUGAGAGAGGAACUAUGUCUCCACCUCUCUAUGUUUCCUACACGAUAGAAUUGCAAGAAACUGCUUAUACUAUGCAUUGGCCUUUACUUGGUGUGCAUGAAUUGUUCUUUUAUGACAUGCGGAUGCAUAGGAAGAGAGUUAGACUUCGUUGUUGCUUGAUAUAUGUUACUUUGUGCUCACUACUAACUUACAAAUCAUUGUUAAUUAAAAUUGGCUUUGAUAUACCUUGGGAUCCGGGUGGAUCCAUUAUUUGA
rnacentral:rRNA from 1 species